rnacentral:ncRNA from 2 species
GGUCAUGAGUAUCAGCGCAAAGCCCCGGCUCGCUGAUCGGCAACCCUCCAUCCGCGGUGGGGUGCUCCGGGUGAUGACCGGGUUGGGGGCCGUCAGGCCUUCCGGCAAGCGCGGGUC